rnacentral:misc_RNA from 1 species
GAACGCAUAUUGCACUUUCUGGUAUUCCGGAAAGUAUGCCUGUUUGAGGGUCAGUUAAAUAAAAAUCGGUGUUGUUACCGCUUUUCGUGGUGACGCGUCGGAAUUGAGUCGUCUUAUCUUCGGUUAAGUGACUUAAAAUUUUAUAUGAUUUUCGAACGUAUUUAAAUUUAUUUGAACGUUUGAUAUCGAAUGCUUUAUUAGGUUCGGUUAUCCUUAUGACUCGCGCCUAUAAUUUUUCAUUAAAUGACCUCAAAUCAGGUAAGAAUACCCGCUGAACUUAAGC